GGGGGCGACUGGAUUCGACGGGAUGGAUGUCGCGCCUGGUUGCAUGUAGAGGACCUCAGGUAACCUCUUAAAUCCUCCUGGGACACGUACAAGUGCCGAUUACGGCCAAGUAGCCUACGCCUAAGUAGCGUAAGCCGUUUUCCCGAAAGCGUGCCCGACGAGUUCGGAGAAAGCGACGAUAAUUCGGGCUGGUCACCGGUUAUAUCUGCGGACCGGCGAUGAGAUAUUUAUCGCAGAUUGGUUCUGACUGAAUGCUGUCCGCUGCAGUCAUCAGAGCGAGAUUAAAGAACGGACUAAACAUGUAGAUACCGGUCGRGAUACYUUUUCGGACGGGAGUUCGACUCUCCCCGCCUCCACAA
rnacentral:tmRNA from 1 species